rnacentral:rRNA from 1 species
ACGGGAAGAAGACCAACAGGGAUUGCCUUAGUAACGGCGAGUGAAGCGGCAAUAGCUCAAAUUUGAAAGCUGGCGUCUUCGACGUCCGCGUUGUAAUUUGUAGAGGAUGCUUCGGCGAGGACUCCUGCCUAAGUCCCCUGGAACGGGGCGUCACAGAGGGUGAGAAUCCCGUAUGUGGCGGGCGGUCCAAGCCAUGUGAAGCUCCUUCAACGAGUCGAGUUGUUUGGGAAUGCAGCUCUAAAUGGGAGGUAAAUUUCUUCUAAAGCUAAAUAUUGGCCAGAGACCGAUAGCGCACAAGUAGAGUGAUCGAAAGAUGAAAAGCACUUUGGAAAGAGAGUUAAAAAGUACGUGAAAUUGUUGAAAGGGAAGCGCUUGCAACCAGACUCGCUCGCAGUUGCUCAGCCGGCCUCUUGGCCGGCGUACUCUUCUGCGAUCGGGCCAGCAUCAGUUCGGGCGGCCGGAUAAAGGUGUCGGGAAUGUAGCACCCUUCGGGGUGUGUUAUAGCCCGGCGCGGAAUGCGGCCAGCCUGGACUGAGGAUCUCGCUUCGGCAAGGAUGCUGGCGUAAUGGUUGUAAGCGGCCCGUCUUGAAACACGGACCAAGGAGUCUAACAUCUAUGCGAGUGUUUGGGUGUCAAACCCAUGCGCGUAAUGAAAGUGAACGGAGGUGGGAACCCCUCACGGGGUGCACCAUCGACCGAUCCUGAUGUCUUCGGAUGGAUUUGAGUAAGAGCAUAGCUGUUGGGACCCGAAAGAUGGUGAACUAUGCCUGAAUAGGGUGAAGCCAGAGGAAACUCUGGUGGAGGCUCGCAGCGGUUCUGACGUGCAAAUCGAUCGUCAAAUUUGGGUAUAGGGGCGAAAGACUAAUCGAACCAUUCGCGGCUU